CCAAGGGUUGGGCUGUUCGCCCAUUAAAGCGGCACGCGAGCUGGGUUUAGAACGUCGUGAGACAGUUCGGUCUCUAUCCGCCGCGCGCGUCAGAAGCUUGAGGAAACCUGUCCCUAGUACGAGAGGACCGGGACGGACGAACCUCUGGUUUACCAGUUGUCCCACCAGGGGCACGGCUGGAUAGCUACGUUCGGACAGGAUAACCGCUGAAAGCAUCUAAGCGGGAAACCUCUUCCAAGACCAGGCUUCUCACCCUUUUAGAGGGAUAAGGCCCCCCGCAGACCACGGGAUUGAUAGGCCAGACCUGUACACCUAGUAAUAGGUUCAGGGAACUGGUACUAACCGGCCGAAAACUUACACAC
rnacentral:rRNA from 1 species